GCCAUUUUCCUGCCUCAGCCUCCCGAGUAGCUGGGACUAUAGGCACCCGCCACCACGCCCGGCUAAUUUUUUGUAUUCACAGUACAGACGGGGUUUCACCGUGUUAGCCAGGAUGGUUUCGAUCUCCUGACCUCGUGAUCCGCCCGCCUCUGCCUCCCAAAGUGCUGGGAUUACAGGCGUGAGCCACCGCGCCCGGUGGAAAGGACACUUUUUUACAGUAUGAGCACUGAAACAAAAAGGCAAAGCAAGGUCUGUUCACCUUCAGCUGAGAACGUGAGGAUUGGUUCAGGAGUACAUGCGCAGGUUUGUCAUAUAAGCAAAUUAUGUGGCACAGAAGUUUGGUGUAUGGAUUAUUUCAUCACCCAGGCCGUUUCUCAGCGUUGGAUGUGCAAGCAGUUUUGAGAGAUGAAGUCAUGACUUCAAGACAAAAAAACAGGUUUGCUUAUUUUGCUACAAACCAAUAAGUUCUUCAGCCAUGCUGCAAAUCCACUGUGUAUCCAGUUCCCAUCUGCGGCCCGCACAUCAUCCCCAUGGGACUUGAGAGCAAGAGGAUCCCACGCAAAUCAUGUUGCUUGCUAUGCUAUCCAGGGCUCCCUGGAGAACUGGCUAAUUCUCGGGCAUGGAAUGAAAAAAUACAAGAUGAACCUGGAGAAGCUUUCUGUGUCAGAAAGUAAGAACGUGCUCAAAGAAUGAUGGGACCAUGUGAAAAGGACAUAGGAGUCUGUUUGAAAGGCAUCCCACUGGCCAAAUAUAGGAUAACUCUGAGGAUAAAAAUGUCAGUAAAGAAUUAUAACCCACUGAAAUAAAAAAUGAUAAAUGGAUAAAUGAAGGCAUUAUUUAUAGGACAAUGACAGCUAAUACAUUUUAAAAGAAAAAUGAGAUACAAGAUCAACAUUUGGCAAACACCAUAAUAAUUAUUUCUGGCAAGAAACAUCCAUGAAAGCUAAAAACUAAUGGAUGCAAAUUGAUGAGAAAGAUAAUAUUUAUAUAACCUCAAAGCAUCUCCUUCAUAAAAUACUUAUUAGUGACAAAGUGAAGAUGGUGACUCUACAAUGGAGGAACCUAGCAGACAGCAUCUUAACCAAGGGAUCAAGAUGGAACAAUUGUGUACUAUAAUGUUCAUUCUCAUAUCAGGCGCUAAGUACACAACAUCACUUUUGUGCUACUCUGCACAAAACCCAUAACUGAAAUCUAACUCUGAGGAAACAUCAGAUAAAAACAAAAUGAACAAUAUUCUUUGCAAUAAGUGAUCUGUGCUCUUCAAAAUGUGAAGGUCAUAAAAGACAGUUCCAGGUCAAAAGAGACCAAAGGUGCACAAUAACUAAAUAAAAAAAGAACCUUAUAUUAGAUUUUGCAGAAGAAACUAUUUUUUGCCCUUUCUUUAAAGAAUAUUAAUGGGAAGUUGGUGAAAUUUGAAUAAAGUCUGUACAUGAGAUG
rnacentral:lncRNA from 1 species